GCUCUAACCAGCUGAGCCAAUCGCCCGGUGGGAAAAGUGUACGACGCUAGCGAGCGAGGACGGCGCUCUCCACGAGACCGGCGGCGACGAGAAGCGCGAGAGAGACCGCGACGGUGAUCGCGAGACGGCGGAAGUCCUUCCCGACGAACGCGCGCUCCAUGAGCGACGCGCGCUCCAGCGCCGCGGACGGCGCACCGGCCGCACGCGAGUACCCAAGGCGCGUGACGGAGCCGCGUGCGCGGUAGCCGGUCGGACGCGCCGCGACCUCGCGCUCGAUCGGACGCGGCGACGUCGCGCGCCGCGCUGCUGUGGCAUCGCGUCGUGAGCGUGAGCGUGUGCGGUUCCGCCUCGCCAUGGAGCGUCCA
rnacentral:misc_RNA from 1 species